rnacentral:rRNA from 1 species
AUACCAGCUCUCCGAGUGGUGUGGAUGUUUAUUGGGCCUAAAGCAUCCGUAGCUGGCUAAGUUAGUCCCCUGUUAAAUCCAACGAAUUAAUCGUUGGAUCGCGGGGGAUACUGCUUGGCUAGGGGACGAGAGAGGCAGACGGUAUUUCCGGGGUAGGGGUGAAAUCCUAUAAUCCCGGGAAGACCACCAGUGGCGAAGGCUGUCUGCUAGAACGCGCCCGACGGUGAGGGAUGAAAGCUGGGGGAGCGAACCGGAUUAGAUACCCGGGUAGUCCCAGCUGUAAACGAUGCAGGCUAGGUGUUUGGAAGGCCACGUGCCGUUCUAGUGCCGCAGGGAAGCUGUUAAGCCUGCCGCCUGGGGAGUACGAUCGCAAGAUUGAA